GAAAAUCAAGUUACGGGUGCCUGGUGGACGGACAGUGUCUGAUUUCCGGACACGAGGAGAUGAUUGACGGGAAGGCGUGUACCUGUGAUGAGAAUACCUGGACGUGUACGGAACUGACGACACUUCCGGGGCAGGAGGAAGUCACUACCACGCCCAACCCAUGUGCAGGAUGUGCUACAUCAGACGGGCGAUGUUACAAGAAGGGCGACAUGUACGACUAUGAUCCGCAGUGUGUUUGUGAUGGACUGUUCUUUAUCUGUGGCUAAUGCCGUCAAAUAUCGUCUCAGUUUCACUGUAUUCCUCGAACAAAUCGCAUACUAAAUAUAGGACUUCGAAUUGUUUUUAUCGUGUAAAACAAACAUUUUUUUUUUAUCGAAUUGGAAAUCCCUUUCAGUAUUGCAUAACAAUUACUUAUUGCGACAAGAGGUAUCCUACAAUGUUUUAUGAUACUGUGUACCACUAAGAAACACUUUAUAAAAUAAAUUAAUGUUCUUACA